rnacentral:rRNA from 1 species
AUUGAACGCUGGCGGCAGGCCUAACACAUGCAAGUCGAACGAGGGGCGGACGGGUGAGUAAUGUCUGGGCCACUGCCUGGUGGAGGGGGAUCACCACUGGAAACGUUAGCUAAUACCGCAUCACAUCGGGUGGGCCCAGAUGGGUUGCGCUAGUAGGUGGGGUAAAGUCUCACCUAGGCGGCGAUCCCUAGCUGGUCUGAGAGGAUGACCGGCCACACGGGAACUGAGCCACGGUCCAGACGCCUACGGGAGGCAGCAGUGGGGAAUAUUGCGCAAUGGGCGCAAGCCUGAUGCAGCCAUGCCGCGUGUAUGAAGAAGGCCUUCGGGUUGUAAAGUACUUUCAGCGGGGAGGCGUUACCCGCAGAAGAAGCACCGGCUAACUCCGUGCCAGCAGCCGCGGUAAUUC